GUGAAUCAUCGAAUCUUUGAACGCAAAUUGCACUCUCUGGCAUUCCGGAGAGUAUGCCUGGUUGAGGGUCAGUAUAAUCAAAAUCGGAGCGAUGCUUUUUGGGUGACGCUCCGGAGUUUGGGUAUUCUUAACUCUUUUUUUUAAGAGACCUAAAAUUAACAUUCUUUUUUGCUUACUUUUGUGUCGUACAUAAUUUUUUUUUUUUCCUCUAUCCUGAUGGUAAUAA
rnacentral:misc_RNA from 1 species